GACAAGUGUAUUUUGCACUAUUUAUGUUCAACGUUUAAUCAUCCGUUUUAUUUUUAAAAAAUUAUGAUUAGUGUUUUUAUUGUUAUUAUAUGAUAAAACAUGAAUAGUACUUCACGUAUGACUAUAUUUUUAAUAUUUUUAUAAAUAUUUUAAAUAAGACAAACAGGUAAAUGUUAGACAUGAAAAUCCACGAGUUUUUCGUAUC
rnacentral:pre_miRNA from 1 species